UUGGGGUUUCUAGCCUCCCCGUUCGUCUCAGCUGACAAGUAAGUACCACGUAACAGUAAUUUGUGUGUACUGAACCAUCAACAUAUUAAACUGCAGAUCCAUACCGGCCAAGACUGGUGAUAGAUAUGUAUAGUAUUUUAGAUUGACGCAUGCUCAGCUGACUGGGGACUAUGAGUAUGGAAAACCAUUUUGCAGAAUUAGGAAUGUGCAGCUGAAAGUGGUCAAAGAUCAAAGGCCAAGACUGAUGUCAGCUUGAAAGAAACCACUCUGUGUAUUGGAUUUGCGAGAUAAAAG